GAUGAACGCUGGCGGCGUGCCUAAUACAUGCAAGUCGAGCGAACGGACGAGAAGCUUGCUUCUCUGAUGUUAGCGGCGGACGGGUGAGUAACACGUGGAUAACCUACCUAUAAGACUGGGAUAACUUCGGGAAACCGGAGCUAAUACCGGAUAAUAUUUUGAACCGCAUGGUUCAAAAGUGAAAGACGGUCUUGCUGUCACUUAUAGAUGGAUCCGCGCCGCAUUAGCUAGUUGGUAAGGUAACGGCUUACCAAGGCAACGAUGCGUAGCCGACCUGAGAGGGUGAUCGGCCACACUGGAACUGAGACACGGUCCAGACUCCUACCGGAAGCAGCAGUAAGGAAUCCUCCGCAAUGGGCGAAAGCCUGAACGAACAACCCCGCGUGAAUGAAGAAAGGCUUCCGAUCGUAAAACUCUGGUAUUAGGGAAAAACCAAUGUGUAAGUAACUAUGCACGUCUUGGCCGGACCUAAUCAGAAAGGCACGGGUUACUACGUGGCAACAGCCGCGGUAAUACCUAAGUGGGAAGCGUUAUCCCGAAAUAUUGGGCGGUAAGCGCGCGUAGCGGUUUUUUAGUCUGAUGUGAAAGCCCACGGCUCAACCGUGGAGGGUCAUUGGAAACUGGAAAACUUGAGUGCAGAAGAGGAAAGUGGAAUUCCAUGUGUAGCGGUGAAAUGCGCAGAGAUAUGGAGGAACACCAGUGGCGAAGGCGACUUUCUGGUCUGUAACUGACGCUGAUGUGCGAAAGCGUGGGGAUCAAACAGGAUUAGAUACCCUGGUAGUCCACGCCGUAAACGAUGAGUGCUAAGUGUUAGGGGGGUUCCGCCCCUUAGUGCUGCAGCUAACGCAUUAAGCACUCCGCCUGGGGAGUACGACCGCAAGGUCGAAACUCAAAGGAAUUGACGGGGACCCGCACAAGCGGUGGAGCAUGUGGUUUAAUUCGAAGCAACGCGAAGAACCUUACCAAAUCUUGACAUCCUCUGACUCCUCUAGAGAUAGAGUUUUCCCCUUCGGGGGACAGAGUGACAGGUGGUGCAUGGUUGUCGUCAGCUCGUGUCGUGAGAUGUUGGGUUAAGUCCCGCAACGAGCGCAACCCUUAAGCUUAGUUGCCAUCAUUAAGUUGGGCACUCUAAGUUGACUGCCGGUGACAAACCGGAGGAAGGUGGGGAUGACGUCAAAUCAUCAUGCCCCUUAUGAUUUGGGCUACACACGUGCUACAAUGGACAAUACAAAGGGUAGCGAAACCGCAAGGUCAAGCAAAUCCCAUAAAGUUGUUCUCAGUUCGGAUUGUAGUCUGCAACUCGACUACAUGAAGCUGGAAUCGCUAGUAAUCGUAGAUCAGCAUGCUACGGUGAAUACGUUCCCGGGUCU
rnacentral:rRNA from 1 species